CACUCUGAAUAACCUGCUCUCUGUGGAAGAAACCAUGCGGUGCAGGGGAUUCAGAGGAG
rnacentral:pre_miRNA from 1 species